CACGUAGGGGGCAAGCGUUGUCCGGAUUUAUUGGGCGUAAAGAGCUCGUAGGCGGCUCGGUAAGUCGGGUGUGAAACCUCCAGGCUCAACCUGGAGACGCCACUCGAUACUGCCGUGGCUAGAGUCCGGUAGAGGAGCGUAGAAUUCCUGGUGUAGCGGUGAAAUGCGCAGAUAUCAGGAGGAAUACCAAUUGCGAAGGCAGCUCGCUGGGACGUAACUGACGCUGAGACGCGAAAGCG
rnacentral:rRNA from 1 species